ACAGUUUAUCUGCCUUAAUUACUAUCUCGCCUCGUUCUUAACCGCAGCGUAGUUUCCAUGUAGGAAACAAGAUUUGUUGAAAAACGCUGGCAAGCAAAAAUAAAUCGUCAAAGGUAAUCGAGGGGUUUGCAUAAUCGUCCAGCAUUGACUUUACCACCCUAUGAAUGUGUAAUUAGUAAGAGGAAAAAAUUCAGAUUGGUGCAUGUUUGCCAUGUGCUUUCCUACAUCUUCAGGAAAAAAAAGGGGGUCGCGGGGGUUGUUGUUGGAGCCAAUCCCAGCUGGUACACCCUGGACAAGUCGCCAGCUCAUCGCAGAACACUUUACUGAUGGCACCUGGGCAUCAGGAGCAAUUUGGGGUUCAGUAUCUUGCUCAAGGACACCUCAGCAUGCAGUCUAGUUCAGCCCAGUGAAGAGGACCGUCGUGUCGGCUCGGGUACGACGCCGGGCUCCAGCACGUCGUUAGCUGAUCAGUAUCGGCCGGCUCCUACUAUCACCUAUCAGAUUUAAACAAGGGUCGCGCGCACAGAUUCCCCCGUUCUGCCUGGAGUGCCUUCGAAUGCAGAGCAUUUUUUUUUCUUUUUCUAAAGAGUGCAUCUGGACAUCUAUCCGCGAUGAUCGUGUUGAAUCCUUUUGAUGUAAGUGUCUGACUGGACCGCCUGACAAAGCGUGCAAAGCGUGGUGAUCUUAGCGGUCCAAAAUACAACCCUCGGCUGAGCUCAUACGAGCACGCUUACAAAUCAGCUUUGUGUAA